rnacentral:rRNA from 1 species
GACGAAGGGGGCUAGCGUUGUUCGGAAUUACUGGGCGUAAAGCGCGUGUAGGCGGUUGCCCAAGUCGGGUGUGAAAGCCUUGAGCUCAACUCAAGAAAUGCACUCGGUACUGGGUGACUAGAGGACCGGAGAGGAUAGUGGAAUUCCCAGUGUAGUGGUGAAAUACGUAGAGAUUGGGAAGAACACCAGUGGCGAAGGCGGCUAUCUGGACGGUUUCUGACGCUGAGGCGCGAAAGCGUGGGGAGCAAACGGG